UACGAAGGGUGCAAACGUUGCUCGGAAUUAUUGGGCGUAAAGCGCACGUAGGCGGCAUUGCAAGUCGGAUGUGAAAUCUUAUGGCUUAACCAUAAAAGUGCAUCCGAAACUGCAGUGCUUGAGUACUUAAGAGGAUCGCGGAAUUCCUGGUGUAGCGGUGAAAUGCGCAGAUAUCAGGAGGAACACCGGUGGCGAAGGCGGGUCUCUGGGCCGAUACUGACGCUGAGGAGCGAAAGCGUGGGGAGCGAACAGG
rnacentral:rRNA from 1 species